UGUCAGGCAGCCCUGCAGUCGUCCGCAGUGUGGGAAGGGGACCGGCCGGGGGAGGUAGGGGACGCCUCUCCUCCCCGUCCACUUUUGCCCUACUUUGCAGUUUUGCCACAACUAUUUCGAAGGCAGCACCAGGAGCCAGAGGCCAAUCCCUUGGGCUUCAAACCUCCCUCCUUUAGCCGGCGGUGGGGGUUGAAAAUCAAAUUGGGGGCACAGCAGAGUCAAGGCCAAGGGGGCGGUUAGGAAAGCCUCAUGGCAGGAGGUGGUGCCAGCAGAAUGCGGCGGCCAAGCAGGGUCGGGGUGGGCAGAGGGGCGGGCACUCCCAGCCUGGAGUCUCUGGCCCCUCUGGGAACCCUCCUUGGGACCAGCAGCCUGGCCAGGGGCAGGGCUGGGGCAGGGAGAAAGCAGAGCCUUCCCAAGGAACGAGGCCGGCAGGGGGAGGAGAGGCAGGCAGGAGGCAGGGAUGCAGCAGGAUGGCCAGCAGUGGAAGUGGGUGGAGAGAGGGUGAAUGGGGGUCAGUAGGACACGCAUGGCGGGAGGACGCCGCAGGACAGACUCCGGGGCUGCCUACCUUGGCUCUUCGAGGGCUGGGGCUGGGAUUCCCGGGGGGAGCCUUGACGUUGCACAUGGGGCCCUGGCCACUGGCGGGACUCUUCCGGCGUAGGAUGUGAGCCCCGGGCCCUCCGGCGGAGUUCAGGGAGCCCCCCUCCAGGGGCUGGAUGUGCAGUUCAGUCCCCCGGUACUGCAGCACCCCUAGCAGGGCUCCCCCGUCCCAGUGCAGGGACGCCACCGACUCCGGAUCUCCGUUGAUGCUGCCGGUGAGGGCUUCCUCGCGCUGCCCUCUGCCCCUAGAGGCUGGUUUCUAGAGCCCAGGCAACUGAGUGAACUGCCAGGGAAAGACCCUGGGGAGCAGGUCAACUCCCAGGCUAAAGUCUGGCCUUCUCCUCCUUCUCCACGGCAAAGAAUUCCCCGUCUCCGCCACUUCCCUGGUCUGUGUGCCCCACCCUGCUGCACUGCUGGUGGGCUGUCUCGGGGACCCUGUCUGGGGGGAGAUCUGGGGAAGGCCUCUUUCCAGGCUCGGAGUGGGAGGCAUGUGCAAACUCAACGGGUGGCCCAGCUGGAGCUGGGCUUGGAGGCACGGGCAGGGGACGGGAACCGGCCUCCCAGGCUGCACAAGUCUUGGUCUCUUCCAUGCAGCACUGGGAUGGGACUCCUGGCAGCCCGCCCUCCCUAUGCUGUCGCCACUGGCCAGGACUAAGGCAGGGUCAGAAGGACCGGAGGGCAAGAGGGCGUGACCCAGGGCGGAAGUGGGCAAUGAUGCAUCUCCAGGGACGCUUCCCGGCUGCUUCCCGGCUCCGGCUCCAUCGUCCUGCAGCUUCCGGAAGCCCGGCGGGGCUCGGGGUCACCCCGAGGGGCCCUCCCCUCCUGCCUGGGCUGAGGUGGCUCUUCCACCCGGCGGCCUGCUCCAGUGCUGGUGGCCUUGGCGUCCUCCUCUUCUCGCCUUCGGGCUUGGCGGGAGCUCUCAGACCCGCCCAGCGCCGCCUGGGCCCCCAUCCCUAACCCACUGGGGCCAUCUGGAAAUUAGCUGGCGGUCCCCGCUCCCAAGCAUUUGGCAAAGCCUGGGGCUGCGCCGGGAGGGCCGGGCUCCGCCGCCGCCGCCGAGAGCGGGCGGCC